rnacentral:rRNA from 1 species
AUGUCUUCCUCCGGCGCUUCCCAGACCAACCUCAGCGGCCAAGUCACGGAGAAGCUGACCCGCACCAACUAUGUCCUCUGGCGCGCGCAGGUGACGCCGCAGCUCAGGGGCGCGGGAGUCUUAGGAUACGCCGACGGCACAACACCGGAGCCGGCCAAGUUCCUCACCACCAAAGAUAAGGAUGGGAAGGAAACCUCUGCGCCCAACCCUCUCCACCCUUUCUGGGUCCUGGAGGACCAGCAGGUGCUGGGCUAUCUCCUCAGCACCCUCACCAAGGAGGUCCUGCUGCAGGUGACCACGAUCACCACGGGGAGCACGCUCUAG